rnacentral:rRNA from 1 species
UACGUAGGGUGCAAGCGUUGUCCGGAAUUAUUGGGCGUAAAGAGCUCGUAGGCGGUUUGUCGCGUCUGCUGUGAAAACUCGGGGCUUAACUCCGGGCCUGCAGUGGGUACGGGCAGACUAGAGUGCGGUAGGGGAGACUGGAAUUCCUGGUGUAGCGGUGAAAUGCGCAGAUAUCAGGAGGAACACCGGUGGCGAAGGCGGCAUCCUGGACCAACACUGACACUGAAAAGCGAAAGCCAGGGGAGCAAACGGG